CUAGCUGUAAACGAUGGAUACUAGGCGUUGAGAGUAUCGACCCUCUCAGUGUCGUAGCUAACGCGUUAAGUAUCCCGCCUGGGGAGUACGCGCGCAAGCAUGAAACUCAAAGGAAUUGACGGGGGCCCGCACAAGCGGUGGAGUAUGUGGUUUAAUUCGAUGCAACGCGAAGAACCUUACCAGGGCUUGACAUGUCCGGAACCCUGCCCAAAGGCGGGGGUGCCUACGGGAACCGGAACACAGGUGGUGC
rnacentral:rRNA from 1 species